rnacentral:rRNA from 1 species
UAGGGAAUCUUCCGCAAUGGACGCAAGUCUGACGGAGCAACGCCGCGUGAGUGAAGAAGGAUUUCGGUUCGUAAAACUCUGUUGUUAGAGAAGAACAGCGCAUAGAGUAACUGUUAUGCGUGUGACGGUAUCUAACCAGAAAGCCACGGCUAACUACGUGCCAGCAGCCGCGGUAAUACGUAGGUGGCAAGCGUUGUCCGGAUUUAUUGGGCGUAAAGGGUUCGCAGGCGGAAAUGCAAGUCAGGUGUAAAAGGCAGUAGCUUAACUACUGUAAGCAUUUGAAACUGCAUAUCUCGAGAAGAGUAGAGGUAAGUGGAAUUUUUAGUGUAGCGGUGAAAUGCGUAGAUAUUAAAAAGAAUACCGGUGGCGAAGGCGACUUACUGGGCUCAUUCUGACGCUGAGGAACGAAAGCGUGGGUAGCAAACAGG